AAUAACAUAAAUUUUCAAUGAAAACUAACUGCAUUAGUAGAAUUUGGAUUUUCUCAUUCACUACCAGAUCAUAAAUCAAAUUGACUGCUAACAUUUCAUUUCAUCAAAUUCAUCUAAACAAACCCCUAACUAUUAACAACCUUCUAACAACUUCUAACCGAAACCUUCACGCCCUCGUCACGAUAUAAUAGAACUGCCAGUUCCAAUCGAAUUGGAUUGGCGUUUUCAGCUCGGCAGCUACAUCCUGCUGCCGGAACUAGAAACCAAACAACCGGAGCCGGCAACGGUGCUAUUGAACGGAAAAACUCUAGUCUCAGACAUCACCUAGCAGACUCCACUUCGGAUCCGAGAAAGUCUUGCUCAACGCCUCGCUGGGACAUACCAACUUCCAUUAACCUGCAGAAUGGGGAUUUUGACAGAAAUUCCAAUUCAGUAACAAAACUUCAAGACCACGACAGAAGAGCUGAACAUUUACAAUCCAAUUAACAUAACUCAGUACAUAACAUUUCAAUUGUUAGCAAGCCAAUGAAAGCAAAAACAUAAUACAUUCAACCUGCAUAAUUUUUGAACCAACCCAAUUCCUUCAAACCAAAUCUCCUUUUCCCUCCUAACUGAACCAAGAGUCAUAUAACUUCACAUAACCAAUAACAAAAAAUCUGCACAACAAAAUCCAACUCUAGCAGCACACUAAAACCAC
rnacentral:lncRNA from 1 species